ACACACUGAUACAUAAUCAAAAACUAUUAUUAAUAAAAACAGUUACACACAUGUAUUAACAUAAUACAUAAACAAAAGUUGGAACAGUAACAGAAUUAAAUUAACUUUACCUUUUAUGCAUCUCUGGUGGCACUUUCUGUUGUCGGUAUCUUGCUGGCUUAAUUUGUUCACAAGGCCACUGUCUGAAGAAAACAGAGGAUUAUGAUAAUUGUGAGACGAAAACGAAGUUCUAUCUUCUUCGUCAUCAAUAUCCGAGCAUGAAUGGAACACGGUGGAGCUGCUGGCAGUUGAGAAACGAUCUGUUUCGAUAGCUGUUUGUGUUCGAUCAACGUUGUUAGCUUCGUGAGUGAUAGUGACACCAGCGUUGGUAUGUUUGUUUGUAGUGUGGGAAUUCUUGAUUGCUGCUGCAAGCUUCUUCUUGUGUACACAUGUUAAAAUUUUACAAAAUGGAAAGAAAGGUUUUCUCUUUU